GUGGGGGGGAAACGCCUCGAUUUUAUUCGUGACGGCCGUGUCCAUCUUAGUUUUCUUGGCUAUUAAUUCGGUUGGCUAUUUUGGAUGAGUCUAUAUUAUGCAGUAAUUUUUUAAGGUGAAGUUAAGACAUGGUGGAAGUACCUACUCUUGUUAAUGUGUCAACUGUCAGUCAACUGUCAGUUGACACGUCUAAGUACUCUUCUUGGCGUGUCAACUGUCAGUUGAAAGAAGAAUACUUCGACCACUCCACUGAAGAUGACUGCCGCAGUUGCAGUUGAAACGUUUGGAUUUCAACCAAAGAAGACCACGGCAAAACCCGGAAGCCAAUCAAAACAUUGACGCCAUCCGUGAAAACCAACAUUCCUGUACAAAUAAAAUAACUUAAUAUCCAAUUACGGAGUAUUCAAUGUUACAAUCGAUACACAUUGGAUAUAUUCCACCGUUAUAUCGUUAAACAAAUAUGUAUAAGAAAAAUUGUGACUGCAAAUACGAAAAUAAAGUCAUUAUCUCUCAA